GAUGAACGCUGGCGGCGUGCCUAAUACAUGCAAGUCGAGCGAACAGAUGAGGAGCUUGCUCCUCUGACGUUAGCGGCGGACGGGUGAGUAACACGUGGAUAACCUACCUAUAAGACUGGAAUAACUUCGGGAAACCGGAGCUAAUACCGGAUAAUAUAUUGAACCGCAUGGUUCAAUAGUGAAAGACGGUUUUGCUGUCACUUAUAGAUGGAUCCGCGCCGCAUUAGCUAGUUGGUAAGGUAACGGCUUACCAAGGCAACGAUGCGUAGCCGACCUGAGAGGGUGAUCGGCCACACUGGAACUGAGACACGGUCCAGACUCCUACGGGAGGCAGCAGUAGGGAAUCUUCCGCAAUGGGCGAAAGCCUGACGGAGCAACGCCGCGUGAGUGAUGAAGGUCUUCGGAUCGUAAAACUCUGUUAUUAGGGAAGAACAAAUGUGUAAGUAACGAUGCACGUCUUGACGGUACCUAAUCAGAAAGCCACGGCUAACUACGU
rnacentral:rRNA from 1 species